rnacentral:tRNA from 2 species
GGAGUUGUGCCUGAAACAAAGGGCCACUAUGAUAGAGUGGAUUAUGGAGGUUAAAAUCCUCCCAGCUCCU